rnacentral:misc_RNA from 1 species
GUCGAUCGACGCGCGGACCAGAUCCAGCUACCGCCGGACGGAGCCUCAGCGUGGCCCGCCGCCGGCACUUGGUGUGUGUGCGCCUUCGGAGCCUAGCCGUAGAGGGUGACGAGGCGGCGGAGGCACUUGGUGCAGGAGUACUUGCGCUUGCUCUUGAGGCACAGCGGCAGGCCCAGGACGCGCCGCUCGCUCUCCACGUCCACGGCCACCACGGCGCCGCCGCAGCGCGGGCACGCCCCGGGCGCCUUGUGCGUGCCCACCACCCACUCCUUCUCCGCGCCGCACAGCGCCUUCACCGCGCGCAACGCCGCCAUUUUCUUUUCGUCUCUUGGCUCGAUCUGCUCCGGCCUCGUCCCACCCAAGACCACACACAGAACGGGGUUCUGUUCUGGGGAAGGAAGACGACGACGGGUUUAUCCGGUGGUGGUCGUGGUGGUGGUGGUGGGCUCACGGCUCAGCCUCUUCUGCAUAUAUAGCGGAGCGGACCAAGGCGGCGGCGCAGUGCGAAAGCGAGCGCGUGCUCGCUCCUGUCUGCUGCUGCUGCCUGGUUCUGCUGCACGGGUGGAGGUGCUGGGUUGGGUCUUGUACUUGGCGCUGGAUGGCAUGGCGUGCGGCGUGGACGAGAGGAGCGUCGACACAGACACAGACACAGUCCGCGGGCGGCUAGAGCUGUAGUAGGCGGUGGUAGGCCCAUACGCCGCCCCUUGCUGCUGCUCUGGGUGUUUUGAGCCGGUUCACGAAACACGGAG